UUGACGUUUGCAAUCAGCUGAUUUCUCUACUUGAGAUUUGUCAAGUGAGGUUAUAGAAAUAAAAUCUUGGUGUUUCCUCUGAUUCAACUAUAGUGGUGUGGGUUAGUACCUAUUAUAGUUAAUACUGUUAAUAGUGCAUGGGUAGUUACAAUACAAUACAAAUAUUUUUGAAAACAGAGUUGAAAACCGAAACUAUUCCCAACAUAAGUAAAUUAUUCUUAUAUCGACGAACCACUUGCCAUGUCUGCAGAGGAAGACACAUUAUACAAAGGGCGUCGAUUUGAUACUUAUGAGGAGUUAGAAAUGUGUGUGAAGAGUUAUGAAACUAUCAAUAAACAAAAGUUUUAUAAAAUAAGGAGCCGAACAAUCACCAGUGCAUCUAAUUCUCUUAAGAGAAAACUUAAACAAUCUCUCGUCUAUUAUGAGAUUGAAUAUGCAUGCAUUCAUGGAAAAAGACUUGCAAAAAGAGGUAAUGGAAUAAAAAAAACUAGCACUUUGCGCCAAGGAUGUGAAGCAAACUUUAAGCUUCGUGUUUCAUCUGAGGGACAUUCUUUACAAAUAUGUAGCAUUAACACGAUGCAUACAAAACAUGAACUGUCACAGAAGGUGUAUGAUCAUCUACCUCAGACUCGCGCAUUGAAUGAAGACGAGCUCAAAUCUGUGCAAACUUUUUUAUCUUUGGAUGCAAAUAAAAAGAAAAUUCAGAGUAAAGUGCUGGCAGACACUGGGAAGAAAACGACAUUAAAGGACUUGCAAAAUAUCAAUUAUAGAAGAAAGAUAGAGAAGAAUGAUCUAGAUGAAGUUGUUUCUUUGUUGACAAAAUCUUAUGGAUGUAUGGUUGAUAUUUUCUGUGAUGAGGAUGAAAAAUUCAAAGCAAUGCAGUUUACAACACAAGAUAUGAGAAAUGCUUUAAAUGCUUGGCCAGAAUUUAUAAGUAUCGAUGGAACAUAUAAAUUGAUUGAUAUAGGUUGCACUGUAUUUUUAUGUCUGGUAGUAGAUUCUAAUGGACAGUCAGAAAUUGCUAAUGUCUCACUUAUUUCUACCGAAGAUAAAAAGACCUACCACUGGAUAUUUGAACAAUUUAAAAAACAUUUUGAUUUUACAAAGGUGAAAUCUUUCAUGGGCGAUAAAGAUUUAGUAGAACGUCAAGUUGUUAAAGAUCUUUUCCCAAACACUCCAUUUUAUCUUUGUAUCUUCCAUACACUAAAGACGUUUAGAAGAGAAGUGACUUGUGACAAAAUGAAUAUUUCCAGAGAAGAGCGUGAUUUAUCGUUAAAUUAUGUACAAAAACUUGUAUAUAGUAAAAAUGAAUCAGAAUAUGAUUUAUUAUAUUCUCAAUUCAAAGAGUGUGUUCCACAAUCUGUGAUAGCAUAUUUUGAAAAAAAUUGGCACAGGAUAAGAAAUGAAUGGAUUAUUUUCAAUAUGAAGCAAUGUAAUUUUAAUAACACUACAAACAACAGAAUGGAAUCUAUAAAUCAAAAAAUUAAGCAAGUGGUGCAUAAGAAUUCGACACUGAUGCAGUUCGUCAAGAACUUCUUUAUUUUUAUAAAUUCUAAUCAACAAGAAAGGGAUUUUAAAGCAGCCACUCAUAUUUUAAAGAAACCACUGUUCGCAAUUUCUAAGUAGGUAUUCAAAAGACAUUCUUUGUUACUCAAAUGUUGUUACCCGUUACAGCAUGAAAUUUAUACAAGAGCAAAUCAAUUUCAUUGAUAAUGUAAAGGUUGGAAUUGAAGGACCGACAGGAACAUUCACAAUAGCUUCAUCGAAAGGCAACUUAUCAGUUACUCAUGAAUAUUGUCCUUGUUCAGAUUUUUUAUCUAUGAUGUUACCUUGCCGAUAUAUUUUUGCAGUAAGGGUGAAGCAAAACAUGCCAUUGUAUUCAGAAUCGUUAGUUCAUGAACGCUGGAAAACUUCCUUCUAUUUAACAAAACAAAGGAUUGCCAAUCAAGAAUCAAUACAAGUUGGUGACCAUCAUGUAUAUCGUUCUGAACCUAAAAUGAAAACAUUGACAAUAACGGAGAAGAGAAAGUCUGCCACUCUUGUUGCGAAUUCCCUAGUAAACACGCUUAGUAUGGCUAGUGGCAGCGAAUUCAAUCAUAAGUUAAACUUUCUAAAGAGGAUUGAUGAUGCUUGGAAAUCGGGGAAGGAAAUAAACAUAGAUAUUCCUAAUUCAGAUUCACAAAUAGGAAAAACGCUUAUUGAUGAAGAAGAAAAUGAAAAACUGGUUAUGUCAGUGGAUACUGAAGUAAAUUCACAGGGAGAUGAGAGUGCUCGGGAGAGUCAUUUACCAAACAUAACUAUUGAACCGCAAACCACAUAUGAAGAGCGGAAAGUUACUUUGGAGAAUGAAAAAGAAAAUUUGUCAGAAAAUAUAAAUAUUGAACUGCCUUUAAAAAUAAAGAAGCGUGGUAGACCACGGGGUCAUGACACAACUGUGAUAGGUCUGAAGAAAAAAAGGAAUAAGAUUGUUCCAUUAAAGUUUGCUUUGAAAAUAAGUGAAUCACAGGACUGUUAUAUUCUUAGGCAUGUUAUAAAUGAUGAUAUUGAAGUUACAGAGGAAACAUUACUGAAUCCGUCAUUUGAAGUGGUGGUAGAAGAUUUAAAGAAUGAAAUUCCAGAUUGUGUGUUAGAUGAUUCUGUCAAUUUGGCUCGGCUGAAGAGGUACUUUGUCACUGAUGCUUGGGAGUACUUUUCUUUUAUGUUAAAUGAUAAGAAAAGCAAGGAAGAUUGGACAUGCAGAUCAUGUGCAAUGCAACUAGGAAAUCGUCCAUCAAUAGUUUGUGAAUCCUGUCUAUUUUGGUUUCACUUGGAAUGCUCUGCACUAACUAAACUGCCAAGAAUCAAAACCUGGUUUUGUAUAUAUUGUUACAAUAAAUUAUGAUCGUUUU